GGAUUGCCUCAGUAGCGGCGAGUGAAGCGGCAAGAGCUCAGAUUUGAAAUCUCACCUAGUGUGCGAGUUGUAAAUUGCAGGUUGGAGUCUCGGGUUAGACGUGUGUGCAAGUCCCUUGGAACAGGGUGCCACUGAGGGUGAGAGCCCCGUAGCGUGCAUGUCGACACCUGUGAGGCCCUUCUGACGAGUCGAGUUGUUUGGGAAUGCAGCUCUAAGUGGGUGGUAAAUUCCAUCUAAGGCUAAAUAUUGGCGAGAGACCGAUAGCGAACAAGUACUGUGAAGGAAAGAUGAAAAGCACUUUGAAAAGAGAGUGAAACAGCACGUGAAAUUGUUGAAAGGGAAGGGUAUUGGGCUCGACAUGGGAUUUACGCAUCGUUGCCUCUCGUGGGCGGCGCUCUGGGUUUUUCCUGGGCCAGCAUCGGUUUUCGUUGCAGGACAAGGACAAUUGGAAUGUGGCUCCUCGGAGUGUUAUAGCCUUUUGUAGAUGCUGCGUAUGGGGACCGAGGGCUGCGGCGGACUCGUUUCGUCUCGGAUGCUGGCACAACGGCGCAAUACCGC
rnacentral:rRNA from 1 species